GUAUGGUGGUUCAGUGGUAGAAUUCUUGCCUUCCAUGCAGGAGCCCUGGGUUCAAUUCCCGGCCAACACA
rnacentral:tRNA from 1 species